GAUGAACGCUAGCUACAGGCUUAACACAUGCAAGUCGAGGGGCAGCACAGUGUAGCAAUACACGGGUGGCGACCGGCGCACGGGUGCGUAACGCGUAUCCAACCUUCCCGUUACUCUUGGAUAGCCUUCCGAAAGGGGAGAUUUAAUACAAGAUGGUAUUCAAAUUCCGCAUGUUAUUUGAAUUAAAGAUUUAUCGGUAACGGAUGGGGAUGCGUGACAUUAGGUAGAUGGCGGGGUAACGGCCCACCAUGCCUACGAUGUCUAGGGGUUCUGAGAGGAAGGUCCCCCCACACUGGAACUGAGACACGGUCCAGACUCCUACGGGAGGCAGCAGUGAGGAAUAUUGGUCAAUGGUCGGAAGACUGAACCAGCCAAGUAGCGUGAAGGAUGAAGGUUCUAUGGAUUGUAAACUUCUUUUAUACGGGAAUAAAACCUCCCACGUGUGGGAGCUUGUAUGUACCGUAUGAAUAAGCAUCGGCUAACUCCGUGCCAGCAGCCGCGGUAAUGGU
rnacentral:rRNA from 1 species